rnacentral:tRNA from 1 species
GAACGUGUAGCUCAGUGGUGGAGCGCGUGCUUAGCAUGCAAGGGGCCCUGGAUGCAAUCCCCAGCACCUCCA